rnacentral:rRNA from 1 species
GACAGAGGCCCCGAGCGUUAGGCGGAAUCACUGGGCUUAAAGCGUGUGUAGGCGGAUCGUUAAGUGUCUUGUGAAAUCCCACGGCUCACCCGUGGAACUGCUGGGCAUACUGGCGAUCUUGGGCCGUUCAGGGGCGACUGGAACAAGCGGUGGAGCGGUGAAAUGCGUAGAUAUCGAGAGGAACACCUGCGGCGAAGGCGGGUCUCUGGGCAACUACUGACGCUGAGGAGCGAAAGCGUGGGGAGCGAACAGG